rnacentral:rRNA from 1 species
CGUGUAGGCGGCUUGUCAAGUUGGAGUUGAAAACCGGCGGCUUAACCGUCGAAGUGGCCCCAAUACUGACGAGCUUGAGUCGCGGAGGGGAUGCUGGAACUCGUAGUGGAGCGGUGGAAUGCGCAGAGAUUACGAGGAACACCGAAGGCGAAGGCAGGCAUCUGGUCGACGACUGACGCUGAGGCGGAGAACGGCCGGGGGAGCAAACA